rnacentral:rRNA from 1 species
ACGGAGGAUGCGAGCGUUAUCCGGAUUUAUUGGGUUUAAAGGGUGCGUAGGCGGAUCAAUAAGUCAGUGGUGAAAUUCUGCAGCUUAACUGUAGACUUGCCAUUGAUACUGUUGGACUUGAGUAUGGUCAAGGUAGGCGGAAUGUGUAAUGUAGCGGUGAAAUGCGUAGAUAUUACGAAGAACACCGGUUGCGAAGGCAGCUUACUGGGCCAGUACUGACGCUGAUGCGCGAAAGCGUGGGGAUCGAACAG